AUGCGGAUUAGUUAUGCCACACAAAAAUUUAUAACCCAUCCAAUUAGGUAACAAGUUGGAACUAUAGAGUACUUUUUUUUGAACCUGCUUCAUACCAAAUCUCGUAAUGAUUUACCCAUUAAAAGAUCUUAUGACAUACACAAUGGAAUUUCAAAUUUGACUUCAGACCGGACUUAUGCUUUAUUGGCCCUGAUAAUUAUAUUUCAUAUUUGGUUAUUUUGUGA
rnacentral:lncRNA from 1 species